rnacentral:misc_RNA from 1 species
ACUCUCUGCUGCAAGGUGUCGGGUGUUUAAAAGAGUAAACAACAAUAGGAAGGUACCUGCACAAGAGUUUUAUGUCUGUUUAGGGAUGUGGGAAUAUAUUCCCUAUAUCCUCCCCAAAUAAAUAGAUUUUUUCUACAUUGAAUUGUAAUGUGGUAUUAUCUGGGUUUUUUAUUUAUCCAAAUGAGUGGUUUGGAGUUUGGACUACUCAAUUCGACUCAGCUAAACUCGAGUCAAACUUAUUGGGGUUGGCAAAUAUCUAGUUUAAAUUAUCAAAGGAAAAUAUACGCACCAUGUUAUGCAACUGGUCUACUUUCCAUAUUAUUUAAGUUUAUCUACAUUCUCAAAUUGCAAAAUUAAGAUACCUGACAGAUGUGUGUUUUGCUUUACACAAUCAAAAGUUAUUGGCUCUGAAGAUUGAACUUUCCCUCCAAUCUUUUGGUUUGAUAGAGAACAGAAGAAGAAGCCAUUUCCCACCGAUUGACGGGCCCUUGUCAUCAUCCGUUAGGCGUA